UAGGUAGGUGGUCUCAUUUGUCUGGGGUGAAAGCCUUGAGCUUAACUCAAGAAGUGCCCCAGAAACGGUGAGACUAGAGUCCUGGAGAGGGUCGUGGAAUUCCCGGUGUAGCGGUGAAAUGCGUAGAGAUCGGGAGGAACACCAGAGGCGAAGGCGGCGACCUGGACAGGUACUGACACUCAACUACGAAAGCGUGGGGAGCAAACAGGAUUAGAUACCCUGGUAGUCCACGCUGUAAACGAUGGGUACUAGGUUUGGUGGGUCUUGACCCCCGCCGAACCGGCGCUAACGCACUAAGUACCCCGCCUGGGAAGUACGGUCGCAAGACUAAA
rnacentral:rRNA from 1 species